rnacentral:rRNA from 1 species
UACGGAGGGGGCUAGCGUUGUUCGGAAUUACUGGGCGUAAAGCGUGCGUAGGCGGUUUCUUAAGUCUGCUGUGAAAGCCCCGGGCUCAACCUGGGAAUGGCGGUGGAUACUGAGAAGCUGGAGUACGGUAGAGGAAGGUGGAAUUCCCGGUGUAGCGGUGAAAUGCGCAGAUAUCAGGAAGAACACCUAUGGCGAAGGCAGCUCACUGGCUCGGUACUGACGCUGAGGUGCGAAAGCGUGGGGAGCAAACAGG